rnacentral:rRNA from 1 species
UACAGAGGAUGCAAGCGUUAUCCGGAAUGAUUGGGCGUAAAGCGUCUGUAGGUGGCUUUCUAAGUCCGCCGUCAAAUCCCAGGGCUCAACUCUGGACAGGCGGUGGAAACUACCAAGCUGGAGUACGGUAGGGGCAGAGGGAAUUUCCGGUGGAGCGGUGAAAUGCGUAGAUAUCAUUUGGAACGCCAACGGCGAAAGCAGGCAGCUGGGGAUGCACCGACGCUGAGACACGAAAGCCAGGGGAGCGAACGGG